GAUAGGAUCAAAGACAAAUUCAUCAGGAAGAAUAUAUAGAGGAAAGUGAUAUUCACCUCACAUCAAGAUUUAGCCAGCUCUGGAAAGAUUAGAUUUGAAUUGCCACUGAAAGCAUUUUUUUUAGUUAAAAUGCAUAAUUUCAGUAAGAAAGUGGAAUUAAAGAAAAUCCAGGAGACACUCUCUUUCUUGAUGAUAGACAAAGCAUUUAAAGAAUAAGCUUCCCCUAAGGAGUGAAUUUUCCUAGCCCGACAGAUGUAAUCAGUCAAAAAAAAAAUCUCUAAGCCAGCAAUGUCUGCAGAAAAGUAUCACUUAACUUUUAAAAUAGAUUGAAGAGUGUGUUUAAGUUGUUGAUGGAAUUCACGGCUGAAAUAUGUUCAGAUGAAAGGUUCAAAUAGAAAGCCUGUUGCUUUUAGGUUAGAAAGAAGAUGCUUGUCCUUGGGAAAAUUAAAAUUUGCAUUGAAAUGUUAGGUUUAAUAUUCAUCAAUGUAGUAGAGUAAUUAUGUAAUGUAUCGGGGCCAAAGAGUAGCAGAGCACUGUAUUAACUCAGACUGACAACACGUGGAACUCACUCUGACCACUGCUGAAAUGUAAAAGUAUAUGGAAAUAAAAAUUAUGUCUUUAACACCGUGUAAUGAUUAUGAUCAUGUGGUCUAGUCCAAAACAGUAAAAAGAGACAUUGGCAUACAGCUGUCCAAGUGUGACUGAUCAGUAGUGAACAGGCAUUAGAAGUGUUCUCCACUUGUGCAGGAAGUCCAGUAAACGCUGGACUGUACUUACCUACUACCUAUUUUAUGCCUGUGGUCAGUGUACCCUGCCAAGCAAAGGACAAGUUAUGGAAUAGCAUUUUUCACCUACUGUCAAAGACCAUUUUAUGUAUUGCUCAAUAAGGGUCACUUAAUAUGACCAUAGCACAUUUAAUGGAUGACAGCUGAUGUAAUGAUACAAAGCCCAUUGAAAAUCAGCUGUAAAUUCUCCCUUUUUUUUUUUUUUUAAAGCUCCUCAUAUUUGGAUUUGAAUGGACUAGUUACCUGGAGGAGUUGUCUUCUUAUGGUCACCAAGUAGUGAUUUGAUCCAGCAGUUAUAGUUUGUAUGUUCAGUGUAUCCUGAUGAGGCGGCUUUUCCGUGUAUACUCAGAGAUUUUAAACUGUUUCAUAGACUGUUUCAUAGCAACUGUUUUUAAAAUGUUCCUUUUAAGCAAAUGAAGAGUAAUUGCAAUAAUCCAAUCUAGUCUCACACAUACCAGGAGCCAAGUCUUCCACAGACGAGCUCCUGACUCCUGUUUAGUCAUAGCAUUUGAAUAUAGUAUGUAUUUUUGGAACAUGUCCAGGCCGUCUCCAAAAUUGUUCACUAUAGUAAUUGUUGUGUUGUUUCAAAAAUUGAACAACUGGCUGGUAUGAACUUUAUUCUUGAAAAAAUAAGAUGUUAAUGUAAGGAAUGUUACUCCCCACAUAGUUUUGAGAAAUAGGUCCUCCCAAACUAACUUCACUUCACUUUUAUGAGAAUAUGAGCUUAUCUGAUAGAUGUACAAGUGCUAAUGCAAUAGAUUUCUGUAAUGAGAAACUUGAGUGACACAAAACUAGUGUGGUGCAUACAAGAUGGACUAAACACUGGUUGAAAAGUAGAUCUCAAAAAAGGAUUAUAAAUAAUAAAACUCAAACAAUUAGUUGAAAUUCUGUGGAGAUCCUAUGAGGAAAAUAUAUAUUGACAAUAAUUUAAAGCUUAUGUCAGCUCUUGGUGAAAAAGCAAAAUCAUUAGCAAUUAAAAAUGCUGUCUACAACUACCUGAAAGAAGGUUGUAGCAUGGAGGGUGUUGUCCUCUUCUCUCAAGUGAUAGGACAAGGGGAAAUUGCCUCAAAUUGCACCAGGGAGGUUUAGAUUGGAUAUUAGGAAAAAAUUAUUCACAGUAAGGGUUGUCAGGCAUUGAAACAGGUUGCCCAGGGAAGUGAUGGAGUCACCACCCCUGGAGGUGUUUAAAAGGCAUUUAGAUGAGGUUCUUAGGGACGUGGUUUAGUGCUAGAGUUACGUUAGGUUAUGGUUGGACUUGAUGAUCUCAAGGGUCUCUUUCAACUGAAAUGAUUCUAUGAAGAAAAAAAAAAGUCCUUUUUACCAUUCACAGGUACCAUCAAAGAAGAUUGUUUGGCUAUGAGGAAGCCAGAGAGAUGUGGAAAAAAAAUUAUUUACUUGAUGCGCACAUGUACAUAUAUAUAAAAUUACAAGUUUCGAUAUGGCCAAAUGUUGGAGUAUCUCCCAUAGAUGCAUACAGAAAACUUUUACAGGAAAGCAGUGACACUGGAAAAGACUUAAAAAUACUAGUGGAUGAUCUUCUGAAUAUAAGCAUCCACUCUAGUGCCACAACCUAAAGGGUUAAUAUGACGCUUGCAUGUAUUAACACUUUUAUUACUGGUGGUCAAGGCAAUCACAUUUCUCAUAUUGAAGAGCUUGGUGGUAAACUAGAGGAUUCAGAGAGUGCAACGAGGUUUAGCAAAAGUUUGAACAAAGACUUAGAAUGAAAAAACCGACAAGCUCAACUGAUUAGUUGAAGAAGAACAUAAACAAGUGAUUAGAUCCCAUUCUACAGGAAAGAGACACAUAAUCAUGGACUUUCCAAUGUAACAGAAAGCGUUGGAAGAAACAACAAGUGAGAAGGUUGAGGAUGGACAACUUUAGAUUAAAGUACAAGGGGAUUACUAGAGUAAACAAUUCAAUAUUUUGACUGGAAUACAUCUACAGAUGUUCAUUCUCUGCAAAUUAUUAUAAAUAAUCCACAACGAUUUAGGCAACUGUGUAUUUUAAGGAACUGCUUAACCACAUCCAAGCUAAUCAAUCAACUUUCACAGAGCAACGUAACGAUGGGAAGUACGUGGGCAGAAGGCAUGAGAUUUAUCAAGAACUGUGAAUCAAUCCCUUUGUUUGAGCACCAAGCUUCUGUGUGACAUAAUGCUGGAAAAUAGAUAACACAUGAAACCUUAAAUCCAUUCUAAAUACUCUUUUGUAAUGGUUCUUUUAAUAUAUAUGUUUCAUUAUGUCACUUAA